rnacentral:rRNA from 1 species
GACGGAGGAUGCAAGCGUUAUCCGGAAUUAUUGGGCGUAAAGCGUACGUAGGCGGUUUUAUAAGUCUGUUGUCAAAGCCCGAGGCUUAACCUUGGAAAGGCAAUGGAAACUGUAAGACUAGAGAGAGAUAGGGGCAGGAGGAAUUCCAGGUGUAGCGGUGAAAUGCGUAGAUAUCUGGAAGAACACCAGUGGCGAAAGCGUCCUGCUGGAUCUCAACUGACGCUGAAGUACGAAAGCUAGGGGAGCGAAUGGG